UGUGAUCAGUGAUGCGUUUCCAGGGGACGUUCUUUGAGGGGACACAUUAAACUUUGAGGAAGUAGUGUCUUGUUCAGUGUUCACGGUUUAUAUUGCUGAAGGACAAUUACAAGUCUAAACGGAGAAGAGUCGUCAUUUCAAGGUGUUUUCGCGGACGUAUUGGCAUGUGGAUGUUGACAGUGUCGGAAGUAUUAAUCAAAGUUGACACGAGAAGUUGGAGCGAAUGCGAGAAGAGCAUGCGAUGAGCUGCCUGCCUGCUGCUGCCUACUGCCCUGCUGCUGCCGCUGCUGCUGUUGCAUCCAAUGUUGGGUAGCCAGCCACCCAUGCAUGUUGACACAGCCAGCAGCGGGCACCCAUGGCACAUGGGGAUGGACCCAGGAGUGGAGGAUGACCCAAUAGGAUGAACGUUCAGCCCACUCACUGUUGACACCAGUGACACAGUAUUGACCAGAUCUCCUGGAAGUGCCCCCUGACGCAGACCCAGUUGUUGGGUAGCCACCCAUGCACGUUGACACAGCCAGCACCGAGCACCCAGGGGGAUGGAACCAGGAAUGGAGGAUGGUCCAAUAGGGUAGCAUCAUGAAGGCAGUUUACCCCUGAAACUUUUUACAAAGGACCAUCAUCGUCAGAAAAGUUCCUUUAACCCUUUAGCUCCCAUAGAGGCCGUGAACGUCCGGCCACCUCUCUCCCAUAACGCCCGCCGACACCCGGAGUAUUUUCAUAGCUGAACAGAAGUCAUCAUGCAGUUUCUACAGCUUUCACUUUAGAUCACUAUUACAGACUCUCAAUAUAUUUUUAUUAUAAAAACUAUUUUGGGAAAUCCUGAACUACAGUGCAAAGUGGCUGAGCUCAAAACUACGGGCUCGCUGCUGCUGCCCAGUAGAAAAUAUAUUUUAAAUGCAGUACAGUUCCUAAUUGUGCGUUCAUGUGGUAAUUACAUUAAUACCAAACACUGACAUCCGAAGCACACAUGAACGCCACCGGCCCUUGUAGAAAAUUUUGAUUAAUGAAUGCACUAUAUCUCUUCUCUUGCCUACCUCUCUUCUCCACAAGCUCUCCCCUCAUCUAAUCUCUUCAUUUUGCUAGUCCUCAUCUCUCUUUCUUCAUUGUGUUACUGUUUAAGCUGAUAACUGUUACUUUUAAAAAUUAAAUAGUUAAAGAUA